GUCGACCCUUGUGUACACUCCAGGAAGUUUUGGAGCUCCGCACCCGAUACCCCACGAUACGAUUCCUGAAAAACGAAUCAUUUUGCACGAUCACUCGAGACGUAUUUAACACUGUCAUAUAGAAAUUGGAAGAUAGAGCAUCAGAGGUCCACCGCUGUCGCCCUAAAAAGAUUAUUUUGUCAACAUCUAUAAUGCGAUUAAUAAUAUAUGCAAAAGCACGUGGCAGUCUUAAAGACUGGUCAAUAUUGGUGAAUUAUUGACAGCGGCGGCUUUACGAUAAAAGCCGCAGCGUGUCAAUCGUCCGCUUAUUGCGGCCUAAAAGUUCAAAACAUUUCAAUCUCAAUUUCGGAUUUGUUUAUACUUGUAUUCCGUCCAAUAAUUGGUAUACCUAAUACCCAAUAGGUAGGACAAUUAACUGUUUGUUUCCGCUUCCGUAUACGUAGAAUUCAAAACGCAAAAAUCAAACGUCAUAGACAUCAAUUAUUGUAAGCACAGUUUCAGCCACCCCUCCCCACCCUUAGAUGUGAUAAUUGUCACGAUUUUGAAAGUAUAUCAUUAAUUCUAAUAAAUAUACCAAAUAAACCUUAAUGCUAA